UUGCAACUUAGAAAGUACUCAAUGUUCUGGGAAUAGAACAGAAAUGAUUGAACACGAUGUUCAAUCAAGUCGCCACUGAGCCAUGGAUGGCGAAUUGGCGACGGUUUCGUCAGAUGUUAUAGUGAUAAUUCAGAACAUUUAGUACUUCUUAGUUGCA
rnacentral:ncRNA from 1 species